CCAGGAGAGGCUUCGUGGAGGAGGAUCACACCAAGGGCUAGCUGGGAGGGCCAGGCAGCUCCAGGUUGUCAGGGGCUGCUUCCCUCUUUCUUCAUUUGAAAGCGAACAGCAUGGAGCCCUGGAAAGCUGGCCGCAUCGCACAGGGUGCUCAUGCGGGGCAAAUGUCAGCCAUGUGUCAUUUGCGAGCCCUCAGGCUGCAGAGGAGGCUCUGCCGAGUUCAGGAAGCUGAAGAGCCUUUGGCAUCAGAUGGAUCCUAAUCUUGACUGCUCACGCUUUUGGUCACUUUGCAAGUCGCUUUCCCCUUUGCAACUUCAUUCUCUGAAGAAAUACUUAGUGAACAGCCACUGUAUGCCAGGUUUUGGGGACCUUGGGCCAGUGCCUUAACUCCCUGGGACUCAGUUUAUCCCUCUAGAAAAUGAGACUAUUCCAGCCUGGACAAUAAAGCAAGACCCUGUCUCUACAAAAAUAAAAAUAAAAAAA
rnacentral:lncRNA from 1 species